AACGAACGCUGGCGGCAUGCCUAACACAUGCAAGUCGAACGAGACCUUCGGGUCUAUUGGCGCACGGGUGCGUAACGCGUGGGAACCUGCCCUUAGGUUCGGAAUAACUCCCCGAAAGGGGUGCUAAUACCGGAUAAUGUCUUCGGACCAAAGAUUUAUCGCCUUUGGAUGGACCCGCGUUGGAUUAGAUAGUUGGUAGGGUAAAAGCAUACCAAGGCGACGAUCCAUAGCUGGUCUGAGAGGAUGGUCAGCCACACUGGGACUGAGACACGGCCCAGACUCCUACGGGAGGCAGCAGUGGGGAAUAUUGGACAACGGGGGAAAGCAUGAUGCAGCAAUGCCGCGUGAGUGAUGAAGGCCUUAGGGUUGUAAAGCUCUUUUAACCGGGAUGAUAAUGACAGUACCGGGAGAAUAAGCCCCGGCUAACUACGUG
rnacentral:rRNA from 1 species